rnacentral:rRNA from 1 species
UUCGGUGGUCAUAGCGCGUGGGAAACGCCCGGUUACAUUCCGAACCCGGAAGCUAAGCUGCGUAGCGCCGAUGGUACUGCAAGGGGGACCUU